rnacentral:lncRNA from 1 species
AUGACAGAGAUAUGUCUAUACCUGGAAUGCUUCGACGAGGAGAGGAAACUGUACACGUCAGAAUCACUGAACGACCUCCACAAGAUGAACGUGUGCGCCGACCCCAAGGACCUGCUGAAACUCACAGAACAGCCAAAGAGCUCUCAGACCACACCCACUCCUGGAGAAAGAAGAGGGAAGAAUGCCAACAGCACUGACCUGUGUGGUGAUGCCAUUGGUAUGGUUUGUUUACAAAGCAAGUUAGGAUAACUAACAUGGUACGUUAGGAUAAUUAACGUGGCAGGUUAGGUGAAUUAACGUAGCAGGUUAGGAGAAUGAGGUUAUGCUCAUGGAAAGGGUUAGGGUUAGGUUUCGCUUCAAUGCUACAGUUGUCAACCACUGUUGUCCCCGACAUGUCCACUAGAUGGUGCUGUAGGCCAACUCCAUCUAGCCACAACGGUAGAACGUAAACAAACCUUCUGUUACGACAAAUCAUCAGUAUCAUAACACUGGCCUGCAGCAGGUAAGGGUAGCAAAAGUAUACACAUCUAUUCAGGGGUGUCAUGCACCCAUUAUUGUAGAGGGGGCGCGAAGUAUGUGAGGAUGGAGGGGGGUUUGCCGAAUUGAGCAUUUUACAAACACCUGAAACAGCUUUUUCUUGCAAUCUAGAGCCAUAAUCAUUCUGCCUAAUUAUAUGUUUAAAAAAAGAUGUCUACGACACCUCUGAAUCCAUUCCUACUAAUUUACCAGGGAUCAAUCAAAGUACUAUCAAUAGAUACAGAUAAGGCUCCUUGGCAUGCAAAAUAUGUUCUAGAAGAGCCAGAGGCAGUGUCUCCAUCUACCUCUACAAACAAAACAUGACGCUCAACGAUAUCCCUCGAAGAAGAGGUUCAAGUAUUUAUUCAUCUCCCAGCUGGUAAAUGGACACAGCACUGUUGGCAUCGAAGAGGAGCGCAUUAAGACACUACACACCAGUGAGGAAGAGGAGGGCACUAAAACAUCACACACUCACCCUCGACCCAGACUGUUCCUCAUCCUCUUCAUCCUUCUGACUUUGGCUCUGCUUCUUAUCCUGUUGCCGUCUGCCUACGCUGUCUAUCUCAUGGGUAACCUAGCAAUAUCCUACAUGCAUUAUUUCAAAUGCUAGAGGCCUACAUCACUCAAGAAACCCAAUCCUACCUGCUUUAUGCUAGGCAAAUAUUGUACACAACAUAUUUAUACCCCUAUUCAUUCAUUUAAGCAAUCAUUCAAUCAUCUCUAUCUUUCUAUGUUGUGUCCUCAGUUGUGACAACAUCUUGGAUGGGUGAGUUAGCAGGCGGUAGUGAGGUGGAGAGGACUUACCUGGGGGAGAUGAGACCGUGGAAGACUCUCCUUCAACAGUACCUGGACCUCAGCCAGAGCCGCUGCUCAUAGUGAGGUACCCCUUCCUUUCAGUCUUCCUCUCUCAACACUCACAGGAGAGCGUGGCUCAUAAUCCACUUUACACAAGCAGAAUGCAUGUUGAAACGGCAUGCUUGCCAAAGAGAGAGAGGGUCGUCACUCAUCGUCAGCCUCAUAAGCAGUUCUUAGAAAAGAUUUAGACAUAAGCCUUUUGUCUUGGUGCUGUCUGCUGCGCUUGAUGCAGGGCCUACUUGAACAGAGCACUUAUCUCAAAAGAGCCCGUAUGGGUUAAUGGCACAAUUUAUUUCUUGAUGAUAUGGCUCUGUGACUGUCCCUCUCCUCUCCCAUAUCAUCCAGGUUCUGUUAUUGUAGGUUAUGGGGGGAGAGAAUGACACAGUGGAUUAUUUAGAGCAUGUUUUAAUCCAAUAAAUGAUUAUGAAGGGGUGAAGGGAUACUGUACUGUACUGCUGUAUAAUCUACAAUUAUAAUAGGUGGUAUUUGAUUGCG